CUUAGUGGCGGACGGGUGAGUAACGCGUGGGUAACCUGCCUUAUACAGGGGGAUAACACUUAGAAAUAGGUGCUAAUACCGCAUAAGCGCACGGGGCUGCAUGGCCCAGUGUGAAAAACUCCGGUGGUAUAAGAUGGACCCGCGUCUGAUUAGCUUGUUGGCGGGGUAACGGCCCACCAAGGCGACGAUCAGUAGCCGGCCUGAGAGGGUGGACGGCCACAUUGGGACUGAGACACGGCCCAAACUCCUACGGAAGGCAGCAG
rnacentral:rRNA from 1 species